AACGUAGGAGGCGAGCGUUAUCCGGAUUCACUGGGCGUAAAGCGCGUGUAGGUGGUUCGCCAAGUCGAAUGUUAAAGCCCCUGGCUUAACUGGGGGAGGCCAUUCGAUACUGGCGGACUUGAGGGCAAGAGAGGAGAGUGGAAUUCCCGGUGUAGCGGUGGAAUGCGUAGAGAUCGGGAGGAACACCAGUGGCGAAAGCGGCUCUCUGGCCUGUGCCUGACACUGAGACGCGAAAGCGUGGGGAGCAAACGGG
rnacentral:rRNA from 1 species